UACAGAGGAUGCAAGCGUUAUCCGGAUUUAUUGGGCGUAAAGCGUUUCGUAGGCGAUUUGGAAAGUUGUUCUUCAAAGCCCUGGGCUCAACCCAGGAAAGGGGUACAAUACUUCCAGAAUUGAAAGACUUCGGGGCUACCGGAACUGUCGGUGUAGGAGUGAAAUCCGUUGAUAUCGACAGGAACACCAAGGGCGAAGGCAGGUAGCUAGGGGUUCUUUGACGCUGAGGAACGACAGCUAGGGGAGCGAAUGGG
rnacentral:rRNA from 1 species